rnacentral:lncRNA from 1 species
AUGGGGAAAAGACUAGGGAAAAGUUACGCCAGGUAUUUCAGACCCUUUCAGAAAGAGCUCCAGAGCCAGAGAAUAUACAUCCUAGUCUAUGCUCUGGUAUAUGAAAAGGUUUCAGAUUGGUGCUGUAUCAAAAGAAAGCAAAAGACAAACUCUCAUUCACAAAAAAAGUUCUUUUCCAGAAGGUUUAAAAUAUACCUUCCUUUGUGGAGAAGCCAUGAUGAGGGGCUGCAGGCCACACUUAUGCUCCAACCUAGUGAAGAAGGAAAAGCAGUACAGAGAACCCUGACUAAUGUAACCACGUCAAUAGCUAAGAAGACGGAAGAGGAACAAAGGCAACUUGGAAGAUGUUGUUACCAGGAAGAAGGGGAGAAGAUGUAGAAUAAACAAUCAUGAAUGUGCACUACAGAUGGGGGUUAUUAAAAUCAAUUUGCUGCUAUUUAGUAAGAGAAAUUUUGUUGACAAAAAUUUUAAAACAUUAGGGGAUAAGAAAUAAAAAGUCUUGGUGGUAAAAGGGUAUUGGGGGUUUUCUUCCUCCCAGCUUUUUAAAAUAAGUAGACAUAUGUUUGAUUGUUAUUCAGAAUGAAAAGUUCAAUGGCAAGGAUUUCUUUAGAGUAAAGCAGCAGGCUUUAACUUACACUGUAUGGACUGAGUAAAAUCAGGAUGGUUGUCCAAAGUGUCUCCCACAUCUGGUGGAGUGCCCAAAACUCUAUUAUUAAAAUUGUAUUUCUUUGCCCUUGAAGGCCUGUAAAAAUGUGUUAUUAAAAUAAACUGUUAAAGAUGUCUGAACUGUUUCUUCCAGAAUACCAGCAUUCAUCAGGUGUUCAUUCAGGAGGUGUUCCUCAAAGAACUCCAUAAAGAAGACAAAGAAGGCCGUGGAGCAGUCCCAUCUUAGACAGUCAGAAUGCAUAUUAGCAUAUUGAGGGCUCAGAGAACUCUUAGAUUAGGAGAUCUGUUUAAAUUAACCCAGAAUUUUCUAAAAUCAUUUGAUCAUGUAACACGUCUCUUCCCACAAAGUACCUAUUACUAUUUCAUUAAACUUAAGGGUUAGGUGUGUGUGUGGAGUGGGGGAGAUUUGAGGGGAGUUAGAAAGAGCAAUGACUCAGGAGCAAGAAUAUCUAAGUUUAAUUCCUGGAUCUACUAUUUACUAAUUAAACUGUCAAUGUUGCUUAAACUUUUAUGGUUACAAUUCUUUAUAAAGCAAAUAUAACAAUUAGCCACCUCACUGGGCUAAAGUGGCAAAUAUUAGGUAUGGAAGAACCAUUUGUGAAAUGGUUGUUUCACAACCAUUUGUGAAAGUUGUUGACUUAUGAUUCACUCUCAAGAGAUGUUGAUUUUGUCAACUGUCUCGCUCUCCUCUGUUCCUUCCUCCCUCCUUUCUUGCCUUUCUUCUUAUGAUUUUUUUUAUUUCAAUAAACUUCUAAUUUCAGAAUAGUUUUAAACUUACAGAAAAGUUGCAAAGAUAAUAGAGUCUCCAUAUGCCAGCCCCUCUAGACCCCUCCCCCCAACCUCCCACCAUUCACUUCUUUUUGUGUCUGUUUUGGGUUGGGAACUGUAGGAGCAGGACUGAUCAGCUGGGAUCUUCUUCACGGCACUAACAAUCUGCUGGGCAGUGAAGCAGGGGACAGAUAAAUCCACACCUGUAAGACAGGGCCAUGAGUGCGGAGCAGAAAACAAGGAGAGUGAAAGCAGUUAGGAGGAAAGCAUUCAGCUCCUAACCUUGAGUUGGGAGUCAGGAAGAUCACCCAGACGAAAUUGUCUUGAAAAUGUCUUCAGAGAGGGAUCCGGAUGGAUGAGGGAUGAGCCAGGCAAAGGCGGGGGUGGGGGGGGGGGCGGUAAGGAGAGUGUUCCUAACGGGAUACAGCCAAAGGGCAGAUGGGCAACACAGCGCAGGUGCAGAGCUUCGUGGAGUAUGCCGGAGAAAUACUGACCAUUUCACCGGUUCCCAGCUUACCACCUAAUUCAGAAUCACGCUCAUGAAGGAUGUCAUUAUACAAACCUUCUUCCGUAAAACUGUUGCAAAACUGGCUAACCGGAAUGAUCAACUUUUCCAAAACAAUAGUGACUUCGAGCUGUUAACCAAAGCAUUAAAGAAUACUUUUUUUUUUUUUUUUUUUUUACUAUAAAGAAAAUUGGCCAGGAAAUAAUGAGUAACAAAGGAGGGGAAGUAAUUGUAAGUUUUUAAUCAUAUAGCGGGAGCUGUGUGAUUUGUCUUAGGAGUUAGCUUUGUACUCCUCCUGAGAAUAAAAUAUAAAGGGUCCUCCCUCUUCGGAAUCCCCACAGCACAACAUCUGAACCUCUGCCUUGGAGAACUGCCAUUUACAGACACUCGUCCGGGGUUCCUGUGAGCCUCUAACGUCGACACCACGGCACACGGAGCCGAGCCAAGGCUGGGUCUGCUCUGAGAAUCCCAGCAGUCAGCCGAGGCUCCUGCUCCGAGCAAGACGUGUGCGCUCCGCACUUCAGUCCUCCCCAGCUGAAACUGCAGAAGAGUUUAGAGAGGACACGGGGCCCAUUCUCAGGAUCCUCACCUGAACCCCAGCAUUCCAGUCGAUCGCGGAAACGCUCCCAACGGGGAAUGCCCGCUUGUGCAAAAAACGCUGGCUCUUUCCCCGCUCCCCGUGCAACACCCCGGCCCUCACCCCACCCCCCACUCCAGGCUCCGGGUUGCAGAAUCAAAGGCGCCCUCCCCUACCCGGGCGUUCCCCAGCUAAGCUUCCUCCUCCAACCCCCACCCCCUGGCUCCGGGGACGUUUCUUUUGGUCUUUUCAAAUGAGCCACCAACAGGUGUUCAGACACGCUGCUGGAGAAAGAGGAAAGCGUCCCGAGAGUAACAGUGCGUGAGCCCCCGGGGCGGACCCGGGAGGGGCGCACUCUUCCAGGCCGGCUGGAGCGCGGGGUGGGGCCAGUCGGGGCUCACUUCUCACCGGGUGCGUAGCUCGCCCUGGUGCCGGUUGGAAAGACUCCUUCACU